UACGUAGGGGCUAGCGUUAUCCGGAAUUACUGGGCGUAAAGGGUGCGUAGGUGGUUUCUUAAGUCAGAGGUGAAAGGCUACGGCUCAACCGUAGUAAGCCUUUGAAACUGGGAAACUUGAGUGCAGGAGAGGAGAAUGGAAUUCCUAGUGUAGCGGUGAAAUGCGUAGAGAUUAGGAAGAACACCAGUGGCGAAGGCGAUUCUCUGGACUGUAACUGACGCUGAGGCUCGAAAGCGUGGGGAGCAAACAGGAUUAGAUACCCGCGUAGUCCCUGAG
rnacentral:rRNA from 1 species